UAUGUAUUAAACGGAUUAGCGCCAAAAAAAAUCGUACAAAUAUGAAAUAACUUUCAUUAUAUGCUAUCUUACGUACUCUCUUCAGAACCGCCUGCGGAGAUAAAAAAUUCCAAUUACUUUAGGAGAUAUCGAAUUUUUUAAUCUUCAUUUUUUGGCGAUUUUUUUUUAAAAAAAAUUUAAAAAUCCGAAAAUACCUUUAUUCUGUGCUCUUAAACUUCCUCUUUUCAUUAAACCCGGCUGAGAUAAGAAAUUCCAAAUACUUUUGGAGAUAUCGAAUUUUUUAAUUUUCAUCCUGUGCACUCGUGCGGCGAUAAUGGUUGCUUGUUGACAAGUAUCAUUUUUUUUUUUGCGAUGUUCCCGAACGGAGAAACCUAAGAUGCACAUAGAGUUCUGCCAUUCCCGAUUACACCCGAACAAUUCACCUUCGGCCAACCUCGGGUUUAUUUAUUAAUAUUUCUCUGUUUAUUUUAAUGUAGCUAUACUAACCUAACUAACCAUCCAAAUGGUUUUAAAGUGUUUUAAUGUAGCUAACCUAUCCGACCACUUUUAAUAUUUCAAUUCAUUUUUCCUGCGCAAAAAUAAAUAAAUCCCGAGGUUGGCCGAAGGUGAAUAUUCGGGUGUAAUCGGGAAUGGCAGAACUUUAUGUGGAUCUUACGGACUCUCGCGUAAACGAAUACAUCAUGUAAAAAGAAACUUACGACCACCAGCUCGCGGGUCACCCCGGCGCAGAGCAGACGGCGGAGGCGCUGUGCACCACAUUUCACUGGCCGGGGGUGACCCGGGACGUCCGGGAAUACGUGAGGAAUUGUCUCCACUGUCAACACUGCAAAGCGAGGAGGGCGGAUGGCGAGGAGCAGCAGCGACCCAGGCGGCCCCAGCACCCCUUCCACACCAUCGCACUGGACAUCAUGGGCCCUUAUCCCCGUAGCAGCAAGGGGAAAAAGGUUUUGAAUAACCAGUGCCCAACCUAACCUUAUAUUAGAUAUUUAUCAUUUUUUUUAAUAUUAUUGGACAAGGUUCUUUUAAUAUUUUAGUACACGCAAGGAAAGUUUUGUAUCUAUUGUGUUAUGUGUAAGUAAACGUCCAAUGAUGUUUUUGGUCCCAUUAUUAGAUGCCGAGCGCUUUGUAUAGGUGUCUUUUCUGUAUAAAAAAAAUGUAUUUUAGAGAAGAAAUCUAAUAUUUAUUCCAAAAUCACCACUUACUUAUUUAAUUAACGGAAAAACAAAGUUGUCUGACGAGUAAAUUUCUUUUAAAGAUGUUUUUCAACGUUAUCUUUAUCUGAUUGUCUGCGUCGCCACGGUGUACUAGUGUAGAUAUUUUUUUCGUAUUAAACAAUGUAUUUUAAAGUAGAAAUCUAAUAAUUAUUUGGACAUUAUAACUUACUUAUUUAAUUAACGGAAAUACGAAGAGGUCUGACAUGUAAAUUUUCUUUUAAAAUAGUUUUUAAACAAUAUUUCCUUUAUCUGAUCUUCUGCGUCGUCGCGUUGUACCACUUAUGAACAUGUAGCCAGCGCUAGUUGGCAUCAUUCGUGUUUGGUUUAACGUCGUCCGGGCCUGCGGCCCCUUUGAGCCCGAUAUGCCACCGCCCAAACACCACCAUCUCUGUUCAAACCUCCCGCUUGUGUGUGCGUGUGUGUGUUGGUAGCCCGGCAAGAGGGCACUUAGCUGCAGUGCGCCACACCCCUAUAUGUAUUAAUAAUUAUUGUAACCCUUUUCUUUUCGCCACAAAAUAGUGUCACGAUGGCUAUGUAUGUGAGUGCCUUUUGUUUAAUUAAUUUAUGAUGUUUUUGUAAUAAAAUAUGUGCAAGCACGGACACAGAUGCUCCCUAGCGGGUGACAGAGGAACUAGCAUACAACUUGAUUUAAACUAUUUUCUACCACGUAAGGGUCAUUAUCAAAAAAACGUACAAAACACUGUCCACACAUUAUUAUGAACAUAAUUCUACAUAUAAAACUUAGUUUAUGGUAUUAAACUAAUAUUAUAACUUAUAGAACAUAAUGUAAGAUUAUCAUAAUGUGUAAAAAAAAGUAAUGAAUAUUUUUAAAAAUUCUACAUAGUAGUAAAUGUCACGUCCGUGGCAUGUCACAACCUGCAGUUUUACCAUUUUGUCUUUAUGUAAUGUCAUGUUUCAGCAUUUAAUGGCAAUUGAUACCAAUAGUGUAGAAAUAUAAAAAAUACUUAGAAUACACUGACGUCAGCCGGGGCUUCGCCCCACGAGCCUGAUCAUCCUCCGUUCCCUUUCCCAACACCUUCCCUACCCGGCAUUUGUGUCGUAACGUACGUAGCCGUGUGCGAUUCAAACUGCGCGCCACGAACUACAACAAGAGGGCGCUUAGACGCAGUGCGCCGCACCCCUAAGUAUGCUAAUUAAUAUUGUAACCCUUUUUCUUUUAUUCUUUUGCCCCAGUGUCUUGUUGCAGUGUAAUCAUGUGUUUCUCCAGUUUAAAUAUUACAAUUAAUUAUAAAACUAUAGACGUUGCCCGGGCGGACCCGAAUAGGCACGGACUUGGACGAGGGUAGAAAUGUUUUAUAAUAAUUCUCAAUAAUUACGUAAACAUUAAUGUAUUUUAAAUUGCCAGUAAUUUUUAUAUAUUUAUUAAUGUAAUCUAUUAUUUACUUAACUUUCGCCGGGGCACGGAAUCGCAGAGUGUUGUAACGGUAAUUGUGUUCGGCGCGAAGGGCGCCAUGUUGCCACCUGCAAACCAUGAUCUCAUCCCAGUCUCCUUCUACAGCCGGCCGAGAGCGGACGACACCCCGAGGACAUCACCGUUGAGUCACUGAGUAUUAAUUCCAUAGUUUAAUUUAUUCGAAUCUCUUUCUUUCAUCCUCGCGGCCUCUCUCGGUCGGAGAGACUGUAUACAUAUUUAAUAUUCACUCCUCGGAGUUUUUAGUAUCAUCAUUGUAAUACGUAACGACUUAGAGCGGCCACGUGCGUGGUUCGCCUCUUCAACUAAGCCGAUUCGUGCCUCGGGCGUUUUCACAGUUGUACCAGUGAAGGAACGUGUACGGAAAUAAAUCGUGAGUAAAAUAAACCGAUUAACUGUGUUACGUGUCUCUGUGUUCGGGGGGACCACGUGGGACCCCAACCUGGUCGGCGGCGUGUGGGACGCCCUGAGAGCCCACUGCGUGGUAGAAGCGUGCCCGACGCUGAGAGCGGGCUUAGUUAGGGUCGAGAGCGGCGCAUUUAAUAUCUAGAGGGCCAAAUAUCUCGCCGCACACGGGCCACGUAACGCCCUGGGUUAGAGUCUCCAGCCGGGUCCACGUGCCCACUCACGUGGUGGCGUCCAUAACACCGUACGCCCUCAACACAUACAGGAUUACAUUUGUCUUUAUCAAAUUAUUAUUUAUUGUAUGACUUAUUUAAUAUGCGUCACAAGGUUCAGAGUCCUGUCCGUGGACAUGAAUGAAACUUUUUAAAAAAGCCACUAGAAUACGCCAUUGUUCAAUGGUAAUUGAAUGUAGUACAAAAGAGCAGCCAUCUUGUGCACAGGAACAAAUGUAUGUUAUGUCUUGUUGUUACAAUAUGGUAUAUUCUACAUUUGUUCACAAAUUUUGAGCAGUGUUUAGAUCAACUUGUCACGUCUGUGGCAUUAAACAAACUAAUAGAAAAAGGUAUUUAGGCAAUGUUAUCCUAAAUAUGAUUGCUGUUACUCAUGAAAAGGUUUCUAUUGUCCUCAUUGUAUUCUUAACCUCAAAUAUCUUCUCUGUACUGCAAAAUAUUGACAAAUUCAUCCUGUCCGUGGACAUCACAUCCGUGGACAUUGCAUGUCCACAGACAUGACCAUUUGUCCACAGACAUGAUUAUAUUAUUAUUUGCUUUGUAGUUUCUAGCAUAGUUAGCUUACAUAACUUAUUUUUCGAUAUCAUAAGCUCAGUGACACACUAAAUAGUCUGGUUAAGUUAUAUUUUCCAACUGACGUAAAGUGUCAUGAAACUGAUUUAUAACAUUGAGCCACUGAUUGAAAGCAUUUUUUCCAUGUUAAGUACAGUAAACUAUCGCAAAUAUCCGAGGGUGUCGUUUAUGACUUUCAGAUUUUUGAAUAUUCUUUAUUAAAAUGUACCAAAAAAUGUAUAGUUCUAAAAAUGAGGUCUGUAAAGUUUGUGAAAAUGUAGAACACCUUAACAUCAUAAUAAACAAGUCACUUGAGAAAUUAACACAUCAAAUGGCAGAUAGGGCUGCUGCACAAUAAGAGCUAGAAUUUUUGUUUUUCUUUAAAUUACAAAACAUUCCACUGUUUCUAAACCACAAAUCAUGCUAAGUGUGACAAUACAACUUGCAGCACAUCAAGACAAUAACAAUCAAGCAACUUCGGAAAUGCCCUGAUUUUUGAGUAUUUCAGAUUCUCGAACCACAGACUGGCGGGAGUUUACUGUAUUUUACUAAAAAAAACAAUAGAAGCCUAAGUCACUCAGUGCAUUAUUUCCCCCUUGUUUGAUAAGGCAUUAUUCAUUAUUGCUGCAACUUUAAAAACACUGUUUUAUUUUCAGUGAAUUGUGAAAACGGGAAAAAUUGUAAAAAAGAAACUAUCAAACAAGCAACUAGAUAAGCGAAGAGAGACAAAGAAACUAAGCAUGCGACGUGCUAGAGAAAAGUUAAAGAAUGACCCAGAAAAGCAUUGCGAGUUAAAGAAAAAACUAAAAGAUGCUGAAAGGAAAAGAGCUACAAGAAAAAAAUUACAGACAUGAAUGAUAGGGAGAAAAGAAAGAUGCGGAAGGAAUGGCGUGAAAGGGCCAAAAAAUGUAGAGAGAGAAAAAUAAUGGAACCAGAGUUGAUUACAGUACGUAUACCUCACAUCCCACAAAAACCACAUACAACAGAGCUUGUACCUUUCUCUUCAAGGGUACAAGCUGGCAAAAUAAGGAUGAGAAACAAUAUGAAAAUACUUAAAGAACAAAUGACAAAACUUAAAAAAGAAAAUGAAGCAUUGAAGAAAAAACAAGUCAGUAUAGAAAAAAGUAUUACAGACUUGCAGACACUAGAAAGGAAGAUACAAUCUUGUUGCUCAAGGAAAAGAUAUUCCGAACAUUGAUAUUCUUAUGUCUGAAAUUAAAAACAGCAACAGCAACAUUGUUAUUCAUAAGAUUGACACCAACGACAUUGAACAAAUAGAAAAGUAUCUUCCAAACAAUGUACCUUCUUUCAAAGGUGUACUCAAAGUACAUGAGAUAAACUGGUGUAGAUACAAUGGAACAGUAGUACAAGCAAGAAGAUCGAGUUGCAGAAUGUGCAAAGCUGGAGCUUCUUGCACACACUAUGGAAUUGUACAAAUCACUGUGGAUUAUCCUUCAUGUAUCCUUUUGUGACAUACACAUUUUGUUGGGUGUUAUAUUUUACUCUAACUGCUUUUACAACUAAGUUAUUUUAACAUUAGAUUAGAUAUGAGUCUCUUUGUGGUGUACAGUUUGACUGAGUACAGCAGCUCAAUAUUGCUUUACAACUGUUUACCAAUGAUUAACUAGGGAUUUAUUGUAUACUUAUAUUAUGUGUUUUACUUAACAACACUCAGAUACUUCCUCUUCAAAGACCCUGAGGUACAAUGAAGUAUACACAGAUGAUUCUGAUGAGGCUGAAAACAAGCAGCCCGUUGUAUCUUAUGUCGAGCGAAACAAUUACAUUGUUGUCAAGUAUACCUCACAAAGAAACUUUCAAACACACUACGUUGGAAUAGUAGAAAAAGUUACUGGUCAAGAGCUGCAAGUGAAAUUCAUGCGAAAAUCCACUGGAUUUGCUUUUGUGUUCCCAUAUGAAGAAAACAUAGAAUUGAUAGACUUGGUUGCUGUGAAAGAAGUGCUAAGUCAACCCACUAUGAACAAGAGAAACCAGUUCUUUUUUUCAGAAAACUUGGGCAAAUACAUAAACUUUUGUUAAAAACUACGAAUUGCCUGUGUUUUUUGAAUAGCUUAGUGUUUGUUUCAAAGUAAUUGUUAAUUUUUGUCUUCUAGAUGGUUGCCUAACAUUGAUAGUCAAAUUUUUAAAUUCCUUUGAAUAGGCAUUUAAUUCAAUCAUAUCCUUUUGUCAUGUCUGUAUCAUGUUGUCAUGACUGUGUGUCAUGUUGUCAUGCCCAUGUACAGUGUUGUAAUGUCCGUGUACCAUGUUGUCAUGUCCGUGUACCAUAUUGUCACAUCCGUGGACAAGGAAUUUUUUCAAAUAUUAAAAAAAAAAUGGAUACAGAACUAUAUGAUCUUGACCAAUAUUAUAAAUCAAUUACUAAAUGUAAUAUCUCUUCUACAACUAUUUAUGAAAAGGUUUAAAAUAAAUUUUUCAGAAAUAUUUUUAUGCUAUGAAAUUGUACGUUUUUUUGAUAAUGACCCAUAAGUAAUAAUUACAGACGGUCUGGUCAUGGAUGUGAUGUGCUAAUUUUUAUAAAGAGUUUUUGUUAUUUUCCAUUAUAACCCGGGGCACGCAAUAGCUAAGAUGUUAACGGUAAUUGUGUUCGGCGCAAAGGGCGCCAUGUUGCCUGCCGCAAGCCCUUGUCUCAGCCCAGUCUCCUUCUUCAGCCGGCCGAGAGUGGACGUCUCUGCUUUGAGGCGACCACGUGCAUGGUUCGCCUCCUCACCUAAAUCGAUUAGUGCCUCGGGCGUUUUAUAACAGUAUCAAGGAAGGAUUGUGUAAGGGCGUGUAACGUGAGUAAAUAAAAACCAACUUAAAUUGAGUCACGUGUCUUUGUGUUCGGGGGGGCCACGUGGGUCCUUAACCAGUCAGCGGCGUGUGGGACGCCCUAAGAGCCCACUGCGGUUAAUUAGAAGCAUGCCCGACGCUGAGAGCAGGCUUAGUUAGGAACAGGUGUUGCAUUAAAAAUCAGGAGGGCUAAUAUCUCACCGCACACGGGCCACGUAACACCCUGAGUUAGAGUUUCCAGCCGGGUCCACGUGCCCACUCAUGUGGUGGCGGCCAUUAUUUCCAGCAGUAAUUUUAACCAUAACACCGGUACGCCCUCAAAUGGCACCCAAGAGCGUGUGGCGAGAUAUUGCACGUGUCGUGAAUACCAGGCCCACAUGAGUUAGCGCGUGUUAGGCGGUUGUACACCGGAGCGCGGUAGCCAGCGGAGCCGAGAGAUAACUGGACUGGCCGGCCACGUGACCAGCCGAGCGCGCGCGCUUCCGAGAAUUCGCAGUGAGCAGCCAGGUGAUUGCAUUCCUCGCGAAAACAACACACUCCGAGCGCAGUAUGUUGUCGCAGUUCGUGAGGACUUUUCGUGUAAAGAGUACCACGUGUGUAAAUAUGUAUGCAGACGAGUGCAUCGGGUGUUACUUCCCCUGCCCGAGUUGGGACUUGUAUGGCAGGACCGCCACUGGGUAUGAGUGUGGCUAUUGCACCGAGUACCGCUCACAAGGGGUGACGAAGUGUGGAGCGAGUUCGUGUCCUGCAGGAAUUAGCGAGGGAUACCGCUGCCAGGAAUGUGCCGGCCUGUGACAUUGUGACUGUAUCGGCGAACGUGAAUGGACUAUACUGCGCAAGUUUUUUACCUUUACGUGCGCACAAUGUACCGCCUACCUAUCCACCCAGGUGCAGUAUCGAGCAGAGACGCCGAACAUUUAUUCUCCACGACACGCCUUGACGCUUCCCGAUCCGCCGACGCCGCUCACACUGACACCAACCACGCCGAAAACGACCCUGCUCGACUCGCCAACGCACCAAGUGUCAAGGAUGCCGUUCGUUGCCGGUACGGCAUCCCCGAAGCACCAAGCCGACUCCUCACGCAUGACAUCGUCACCAGCACCACGAAGGUAGGUCCUGACGUCACCCGCACCGUCACGUGUCACGUUACCGAUGCCUACCACCCUGACGAAAACGCCCGUCGUCCUGAUGCCGACGCCCGUCAUCCUGACGCCAACGCCCAUCGUGCCGACGCCGAAGCUCAUCGACGUGACGCCUCCCGCCACAAGUCCGAUGACGCAAUCACCUGCAAGACCCCGUUUCGUUGACCCCAAGCCAUUUAUCCCGACACCGACGAUUCCGCUCCCGCCGCCUCCUGUCCUGGAACCGCCAGCCUCGGCACCUCUAGUUGACCUGACGUCUCCUGACGCAAGCCCGAUCACAUCAUCACCCGCAAAAUCUCGUUUCGCCAACCUGACGCCACUCAUCCGACUGUGACGACGCUUGACUCGCCGAAGCCAACUGAGCGACCUACGGCGACGACUGUCCCGCCGCAGUCUGCGACGCCGUCCAGCACCCGCCUCGUGUUGGGGACUACUCCCCAAGCCAGAAUGACCUCGCCACCGUCCAGACAUCAUCAGGGUCCAUUCCGGCGCAGCCCGCAUCGUCUCCACCACACGACUCGCCACGGACGCCACCAGACUCGACGCCGACGCUUCGCGCCACUUUGUCGCCACCACCUGGCUUCGACAUCAUCCUGCAUUCGUCACCGCCACCCGAGUGUGCAGUCGCAAACGGGACGCUUUGCGACACAAUGUCCAGGGCCCUGACGCCGAGACGCCUGAGCGCUGCCGCGCCACCUGGAUAGGCUCUUCUGUGCCCGCCUGGCUUCGAGGGACAGUCGGAUGAACCUGCCCGAAUGGAACGGACGCGCGCGAUGCCGACGCCACCCUCGAGCCCACCUGACGCAACGUCAGAAAUGUCGGAGACGCCACGACGCCCGAUUCCGACGCCGCAGUACCGGAACAUCGGUCAAGUGCCCUGCCGCCCGAGACGCCACGCACAUGUCGCAAGUUGGCAACAUUGGGACGCCGCACCGUGAAGAGUCGCCUGAGCUCCCUGCAUCCGCCUGUCGCAAUGCAGGUCGACGCCACGACACCUGGACGGCCGACCGUCCCACCACCCGGACUUCGACACCUGUCACCCGUCUGUCAAAACGGGCCGCGAAGCGCCCACAUGUCGGCAUAGCUGAGCCGGGCCAUGCCGAGCGCCGCCCGUGCUUGCUGCCCGCCUGCCACAAGCUGCCUGACCUUGGACGCCGCCACUCCUGUUGGCCGGCGCCCUGGCCACUGCCGCACUGCCGCGCGCUGCGAGACGCAACAGCCGCAGAUUUGGAGCUCGGAGCAACUGGUGGGUCUCCACCCACAAGGUUAGUCAGCCAGCGCCCAUUCUACCCGUGUGUAUUGUUCGUCCGUCAUCAUGUAAACAUUGCUCUCCUUCCAUCAUGUAAAUAUUGCUCUACUGCCAUCAUGUAAACAUUGCUCGCACGUCUUCAUGUAAACAUUGUCCGCCCGUCAUGUCAACAUUGCCACCUGUCCGCACGGACGUAAACAACAUUGCCACGUGGGAGUGCGCGACGUAAACGUUACAGGCAACGCCCCCCAACCAUCUGUCGCACAGCGCUGUCAUAUCGGCCUACUUUCAGAGGGGGCAAUUGACGUCGUCCGGGCCUGCGACCCCUUUGAGCCCGAUAUGCCACUGCCCAAACACCAUCUCUGUUCAAACCUCCCGCUUGUGCGUGCGUGUGUGCAUGUGUUGGUAGCCUGGCAAGAUGGCACUUAGCUGCAGUGCGCCGCACCCCUAUAUGUAUUAAUAAUUAUUGUAACCCCUUUAUGUGAGUGCCUUUUGUUUACUUAAUUUAUGAUGUUUUUGUAAUAAAAUAUGUGCAAGCACGGACACGGACGCUCCCUAGCGGGCGACGGAGGAACUAGCAUACAACUUGAUUUAAACUAUUUUCUACCACAUAAGUAAUAAUUACAGACGGUCUGGUCAUUGAUGUGAUGUGCUAAUUUUUAUAAAGAGUUUUUGUUAUUUUCCAUUAUAACCCGGGGCACGCAAUAGCUAAGAUGUUAACGGUAAUUGUGUUCGGCGCAAAGGGCGCCAUGUUGCCUGCCGCAAGCCCUUGUCUCAGCCCAGUCUCCUUCUUCAGCCGGCCGAGAGUGGAUGUCUCUGCUUUGAGGCGACCACGUGCAUGGUUUGCCUCCUCACCUAAAUCGAUUCGUGCCUCGGGCGUUUUAUAACAGUAUCAAGGAAGGAUUGUGUAAGGGCGUGUAACGUGAGUAAAUAAAAAACAACUUAAAUUGA